GAUGAACGCUGGCGGCGUGCCUAAUACAUGCAAGUCGAGCGAACGGACGAGAAGCUUGCUUCUCUGAUGUUAGCGGCGGACGGGUGAGUAACACGUGGAUAACCUACCUAUAAGACUGGGAUAACUUCGGGAAACCGGAGCUAAUACCGGAUAAUAUUUUGAACCGCAUGGUUCAAAAGUGAAAGACGGUCUUGCUGUCACUUAUAGAUGGAUCCGCGCUGCAUUAGCUAGUUGGUAAGGUAACGGCUUACCAAGGCAACGAUGCAUAGCCGACCUGAGAGGGUGAUCGGCCACACUGGAACUGAGACACGGUCCAGACUCCUACGGGAGGCAGCAGUAGGGAAUCUUCCGCAAUGGGCGAAAGCCUGACGGAGCAACGCCGCGUGAGUGAUGAAGGUCUUCGGAUCGUAAAACUCUGUUAUUAGGGAAGAACAUAUGUGUAAGUAACUGUGCACAUCUUGACGGUACCUAAUCAGAAAGCCACGGCUAACUACGUGCCAGCAGCCGCGGUAAUACGUAGGUGGCAAGCGUUAUCCGGAAUUAUUGGGCGUAAAGCGCGCGUAGGCGGUUUUUUAAGUCUGAUGUGAAAGCCCACGGCUCAACCGUGGAGGGUCAUUGGAAACUGGAAACCUUGAGUGCAGAAGAGGAAAGUGGAAUUCCAUGUGUAGCGGUGAAAUGCGCAGAGAUAUGGAGGAACACCAGUGGCGAAGGCGACUUUCUGGUCUGUAACUGACGCUGAUGUGCGAAAGCGUGGGGAUCAAACAGGAUUAGAUACCCUGGUAGUCCACGCCGUAAACGAUGAGUGCUAAGUGUUAGGGGGUUUCCGCCCCUUAGUGCUGCAGCUAACGCAUUAAGCACUCCGCCUGGGGAGUACGACCGCAAGGUUGAAACUCAAAGGAAUUGACGGGGACCCGCACAAGCGGUGGAGCAUGUGGUUUAAUUCGAAGCAACGCGAAGAACCUUACCAAAUCUUGACAUCCUUUGACAACUCUAGAGAUAGAGCCUUCCCCUUCGGGGGACAAAGUGACAGGUGGUGCAUGGUUGUCGUCAGCUCGUGUCGUGAGAUGUUGGGUUAAGUCCCGCAACGAGCGCAACCCUUAAGCUUAGUUGCCAUCAUUAAGUUGGGCACUCUAAGUUGACUGCCGGUGACAAACCGGAGGAAGGUGGGGAUGACGUCAAAUCAUCAUGCCCCUUAUGAUUUGGGCUACACACGUGCUACAAUGGACAAUACAAAGGGCAGCGAAACCGCGAGGUCAAGCAAAUCCCAUAAAGUUGUUCUCAGUUCGGAUCGUAGUCUGCAACUCGACUACAUGAAGCUGGAAUCGCUAGUAAUCGUAGAUCAGCAUGCUACGGUGAAUACGUUCCCGGGUCU
rnacentral:rRNA from 1 species